UACGGAGGGGGCAAGCGUUAUUCGGAAUCAUUGGGCGUAAAGGGCGCGUAGGCGGCUUGGCAAGUCAAAGGUGAAAUCCCUCGGCCCAACCGAGGAACUGCCUUUGAUACUGCUUGGCUCGAGGCCGGGAGAGGGUAGCGGAAUUCCCAGUGUAGCGGUGAAAUGCGUAGAUAUUGGGAGGAACACCAGUGGCGAAGGCGGCUACCUGGACCGGUUCUGACGCUGAUGCGCGAAAGCGUGGGGAGCAAACAGG
rnacentral:rRNA from 1 species